UACGUAGGGUGCGAGCGUUGUCCGGAAUUACUGGGCGUAAAGAGCUUGUAGGUGGUUUGUCGCGUUGUUCGUGAAAUCUCACGGCUCAACUGUGAGCGUGCGGGCGAUACGGGCAGACUAGAGUACUGCAGGGGAGACUGGAAUUCCUGGUGUAGCGGUGAAAUGCGCAGAUAUCAGGAGGAACACCGGUGGCGAAGGCGGGUCUCUGGGCCGAUACUGACGCUGAGGAGCGAAAGCGUGGGGAGCGAACAGG
rnacentral:rRNA from 1 species